AGAGUUUGAUCCUGGCUCAGGACGAACGCUGGCGGCGCGCCUAACACAUGCAAGUCGAACGAGCGAGAGAGAGCUUGCUUUCUCAAGCGAGUGGCGAACGGGUGAGUAACGCGUGAGGAACCUGCCUCAAAGAGGGGGACAACAGUUGGAAACGACUGCUAAUACCGCAUAAGCCCACGGGUCGGCAUCGACCAGAGGGAAAAGGAGCAAUCCGCUUUGAGAUGGCCUCGCGUCCGAUUAGCUAGUUGGUGAGGUAAUGGCCCACCAAGGCAACGAUCGGUAGCCGGACUGAGAGGUUGAACGGCCACAUUGGGACUGAGACACGGCCCAGACUCCUACGGGAGGCAGCAGUGGGGGAUAUUGCACAAUGGGGGAAACCCUGAUGCAGCGACGCCGCGUGGAGGAAGAAGGUCUUCGGAUUGUAAACUCCUGUUGUUGAGGAAGAUAAUGACGGUACUCAACAAGGAAGUGACGGCUAACUACGUGCCAGCAGCCGCGGUAAAACGUAGGUCACAAGCGUUGUCCGGAAUUACUGGGUGUAAAGGGAGCGCAGGCGGGAAGACAAGUUGGAAGUGAAAUCUAUGGGCUCAACCCAUAAACUGCUUUCAAAACUGUUUUUCUUGAGUAGUGCAGAGGUAGGCGGAAUUCCCGGUGUAGCGGUGGAAUGCGUAGAUAUCGGGAGGAACACCAGUGGCGAAGGCGGCCUACUGGGCACCAACUGACGCUGAGGCUCGAAAGUGUGGGUAGCAAACAGGAUUAGAUACCCUGGUAGUCCACACCGUAAACGAUGAUUACUAGGUGUUGGAGGAUUGACCCCUUCAGUGCCGCAGUUAACACAAUAAGUAAUCCACCUGGGGAGUACGACCGCAAGGUUGAAACUCAAAGGAAUUGACGGGGGCCCGCACAAGCAGUGGAGUAUGUGGUUUAAUUCGACGCAACGCGAAGAACCUUACCAAGUCUUGACAUCCUGCGAUGCACAUAGAAAUAUGUGUUUCCUUCGGGACGCAGAGACAGGUGGUGCAUGGUUGUCGUCAGCUCGUGUCGUGAGAUGUUGGGUUAAGUCCCGCAACGAGCGCAACCCUUACUGUCAGUUACUACGCAAGAGGACUCUGGCAGGACUGCCGUUGACAAAACGGAGGAAGGUGGGGAUGACGUCAAAUCAUCAUGCCCUUUAUGACUUGGGCUACACACGUACUACAAUGGCGUUAAACAAAGAGAAGCAAGACCGCGAGGUGGAGCAAAACUCAGAAACAACGUCCCAGUUCGGACUGCAGGCUGCAACUCGCCUGCACGAAGUCGGAAUUGCUAGUAAUCGUGGAUCAGCAUGCCACGGUGAAUACGUUCCCGGGCCUUGCACUCACCGCCCGUCA
rnacentral:rRNA from 1 species